rnacentral:rRNA from 1 species
UACGUAGGGCGCAAGCGUUGUCCGGAAUUAUUGGGCGUAAAGAGCUCGUAGGCGGUGUGUCACGUCGGCCGUGAAAACCUGGGGCUUAACUCUGGGCGUGCGGUCGAUACGGGCAUCACUAGAGUUCGGCAGGGGAGACUGGAAUUCCUGGUGUAGCGGUGAAAUGCGCAGAUAUCAGGAGGAACACCGGUGGCGAAGGCGGGUCUCUGGGCCGAUGACUGACGCUGAGGAGCGAAAGCAUGGGAGCGAACAG